GACGAACGCUGGCGGCGGGCUUAACACAUGCAAGUCGAACGGAAAGGCCCUGCUUGUGUGGGCUGCUCGAGUGGCGAACGCGUGAGUAACACGUGAGUAACCUGCCCUUGACUUUGGGAUAACUUCAGGAAACUGGGGCUAAUACCGGAUAGCAGCUCCUGCUGCAUGGUGGGGGUUGGAAAGUCGCGGCGGUUGGGGUUGGACUCGCGGCUUAUGAGCUUGUUGGUGGGGGAGUGGCUUACCCAGGCUUUGACGGGUAGCCGGCCCGGGAGGGUGACCGGGGACCAGGGGCCUGAGGGACGGCCCAGACGCCUACGGGAGGCAGCAGGGGGAAAUAUUGCCCAGUGGGCGGAAGCCUGUUGCAGCAGCGCCGGGUGCGGGAUGACGGCCUGCGGGUUGUAAACCGCUUUCGCCUGUGACGAAGCUGGAGUGACGGUACUCGGUAAAGAAGCACCGGCUAACUACGUG
rnacentral:rRNA from 1 species